rnacentral:rRNA from 1 species
GAUGAACGCUGACAGAAUGCUUAACACAUGCAAGUCGAUGGGGAAGUGGUGCUUGCACCAUGGCAACCAUGGCGGACGGGUGAGUAACGCGUAAGGGACUUACCUGCAGGACUGGGAUAACAGGGGGAAACUCCUGACAAGACCGGAUAAUGUCAUGGAGCUGCAUGGCUUUAUGAUGAAAGGAGACGCCUGCGGAGAGCCUUGCGUCCUAUUAGCUAGUUGGUGAGGUAAUGGCUCACCAAGGCGAAGAUAGGUAGCCGGCCUGAGAGGGUAGACGGCCACAAGGGGACUGAGAUACGGCCCUUACUCCUACGGGAGGCAGCAGUGGGGAAUAUUGGACAAUGGGGGCAACCCUGAUACAGAAAUUCUGUGUGCACGAAGAAGGUUUUCGGAUUGUAAAGUGCUUUCAGCAGGGAAGAAGUAAGUGACGGUACCUGCAGAAGAAGCGACGGCUAAAUACGUG